AGCGGCGCACGGGUGAGUAACGCGUACGCAAUCUGCCCUUCAGUGAGGAAUAGCCCUGGGAAACUGGGAUUAAUACCUCAUAAUAUUAUUUAUUCGCAUGGAUGAAUAAUUAAAGUUCUGGCGCUGAAGGAUGAGCGUGCGUCUGAUUAGCUAGUUGGUAGGGUAACGGCCUACCAAGGCGACGAUCAGUAGGGGGCGUGAGAGCGUGACCCCCCACACGGGUACUGAGACACGGACCCGACUCCUACGGGAGGCAGCAGUAAGGAAUAUUGGGCAAUGGAGGCAACUCUGACCCAGCCAUCCCGCGUGAAGGAUUAAGGCCCUAUGGGUUGUAAACUUCUUUUGUUUGGGAAGAAAUCAGGACAUUUAUGUGCUGUUGACGGUACCUUACGAAUAAGCACCGGCUAACUCCGUGCCAGCAGCCGCGGUAAUACGGAGGGUGCAAGCGUUAUCCGGAAUCACUGGGUUUAAAGGGUGCGUAGGCGGUUUGAUAAGUCAGAGGUGAAAGCUAGCAGCUUAACUGUUAAAUUGCCUUUGAUACUGUCAGACUUGAAUCAAGUUGAGGUAGGCGGAAUGUGACAUGUAGCGGUGAAAUGCAUAGAUAUGUCAUAGAACACCAAUUGCGUAGGCAGCUUGCUGGGCUUGAAUUGACGCUGAGGCACGAAAGCGUGGGGAUCAAACAGGAUUAGAUACCCUGGUA
rnacentral:rRNA from 1 species